GCGACCCCGUUUCGUCGUGCCGUCGUCGUGUCCUCUCUUCAGCCACACACGCGCCCACCUCGCCGAUUUCUCCUCCACGCACGGGAUGAACUCAUGAAAGAGUGAGUAACCCGAGAAGCUGUCAGUGAGAGAGAGAAGCCGUCGAUGGGGGAGGAGGCGGCGAAGCGGCAGCAGCAUCCGCGAUGAUGUCGGCGUCCGUUCCGCCGGGCGGAGCCCCUGGUCACGGCGGAGCCCGCGGCCAAGGAUUUGCGCCGUGUUUUUGGUCGCGAUUGGGGGGUUGACGAGUUGUCCCGAUACAGCAUGGCAGUGGUGAACCGACAAGAAGCCACUGAUGAUGGAGGGGGAGUGGAAGAGGAGAUAAGAAAGGAAAUAAUGCUCGGAAGCCUACUAGAGGGUGCGCGAUUGGGCAAAUAAGCCUAGACAUAGGGGCGUGUGUUUGGGCGAAAUGCUUGCAGCUUGCGGGGCAGCAGGAGGUGAUUUUAGAGUUUGCUUCAAAAAAUAAAAGUAAGUGAUCAUAAUCUAUUUGCUUGGUCAUGUAGAUAGAAUCUUAUAAAACUAGUUGAUACCCUGCGCGUUGCUGCGGGCAUAGAAGUACAAUUAUCAAUGUGCAACAUUAGUGCAAACAAUCUAAAUAAAUUUGCUUAUAAUUUGCUGAGAA